GUCUAAAACUGGGAGUUUCUGGCUCUUUGGUUUAUCAUCAUCAUUAUUUGGUUUAUUAUUGUCAGUUUAUUAUUAUUUGGUUUAUUAUUAUUUUUAAUGUCA